CUAGGCAGUAACUGCCUGGGCGCUACUCAGUGCUCCAGAAAUAAGGCUGGAGGCAACAAGGUUGAGGAACCUGCACUGCAGACGUCAGGGAGAAGGUGACUUUCAGAGAAAUGGCGAUGUGAACUUGUUCUUAAUGACAACCUGAAACAUCUGAUAACAUCGGCUCACGUCUGCUCAAGGUCCAAAACACAGGAAGUAAGUGGACCCAGAGGCCAGGAGGAAGGACGAGCGAAAAUCCCAUCUCUACGGAUGUUUUUCUAAACACAACCGAGCCCUGAAGUCAUGCCUUUUCAUCUGUCAUCCGUGACCCAUCCCACUUUAGGAGGGACAGCGGAGGUCCAAAAACAUGACAGUGUCUCAUAGACAUCUCUACAGGUCAACAGGCCACCACCACUACCACCAAAAUGGCCAUGGAACUGCAAAUCCACUUAAACCUGGAAUGUGCAAGAACAAGGCAGAGGAUCAGCUGAUAACCGCUAAGCCCACUGUGCUAUCCCUGUUGACGGUCAGGAGCGACCUGAGAGAGAGGGACAUUUGGAGGUUUCCAACUAUUUUUGACUGAUCCAACAGUACUGCAGAGCAAGAAAGCCUAGGCUUGAAGCAUCUUGUCCGCCAUGCAUUUCUGGAGGUCAGUAUCAUAAAGAACCUGGAUAUUUCCUGCAACUACAGAUUUUCAGUUUGAAAGGCAAAGAAAAAAAAAAACCACAAAACAAAACUGGAAUUAGAGAGGAUGGACUGUUGCUUUUCCUGACUUUCAUCUGGUGCUUACUACAUCCCCUGAGCUUUUUCUCUAGGUUUCCGCUCUUCUAUCAUGAUGAUGAAGCAAAUUUAAAACCUAUAUAAAUACUUGCCUCUAGCCACAUAAAUUCAUGAAACUGUCUAUAUGGAAAAAUGCUUAAUACAGGCAAGCAAUAUUAUCACAAUCAUCAAGAAUAAAACCCUUUAGGCUCAUUUUUG
rnacentral:lncRNA from 1 species